AUUGAACGCUGGCGGCAGGCUUAACACAUGCAAGUCGAGCGGGGUGAUGGUGCUUGCACUAUCACUUAGCGGCGGACGGGUGAGUAAUGCUUAGGAAUCUGCCUAUUAGUGGGGGACAACAUCUCGAAAGGGAUGCUAAUACCGCAUACGUCCUACGGGAGAAAGCAGGGGAUCACUUGUGACCUUGCGCUAAUAGAUGAGCCUAAGUCGGAUUAGCUAGUUGGUGGGGUAAAGGCCUACCAAGGCGACGAUCUGUAGCGGGUCUGAGAGGAUGAUCCGCCACACUGGGACUGAGACACGGCACAGCCUCCUACGGGAGGCAGCAGUGGGGAAUAUUGGACAAUGGGCGGAAGCCUGAUCCAGCCAUGCCGCGUGUGUGAAGAAGGCCUUAUGGUUGUAAAGCACUUUAAGCGAGGAGGAGGCUACUUAGAUUAAUACUCUAGGAUAGUGGACGUUACUCGCAGAAUAAGCACCGGCUAACUCUGUGCCAGCAGCCGCCGUAA
rnacentral:rRNA from 1 species